AUUCAACCCAAAGCUGCUACAAGUGUCUCUUGGGACCUUAGGUUUGAUCAGUUCUUUGUCUUGUCUUACUCUGUCACUCUCCCAGGUCUUGAACCAGAAUGACAGUGGGUGUCUCCAUGCUCCUAUUAUCUGGGACCCUGCUCUGUGGACUACUGUUUCACACAGUGAGUCAGAAUGGAGUCAGGGACAGGAGCAGCACCAGGAGACCCAACUUCAUCAUCGUUCUGGAAGAUGGUAUUGGUUGGGGAGACUUGGGAGCAAACCAGCAGGCGAGUCAGAGAUCAAACCAAACCCUUCAUCUGGACUUGAUGGGAAUGAGGUACAGCGACGCUCCCCAUCCAGCCUGACAGAGCUUGAGAGGUUCUGCAGAGAAGAAUGGGAGAAACUCCCCAAAUACAGGUGUGCCAAGCUUGUAGAGUCAUACCCAAGAAGACUCAGGGCUGUAAUCGCUGCCAAAUGUGCUUCAACAAAGUACUGAGUAAAAGAUUGAUGAGGGGAGCCUCUGGACCUUAGGAGGCUAACGCAGCGAUACAACUCCCAUGCACUCAGUAUUAUACACACAGACAGGGGUCUGGAUAUCUUCCCCACCCUCCUCUCCCUGGGUGGAGUGAAUCCCCAUCAGACAGAAGCUAUGACGGUAUCGAUGCCACCGAUGACCUUCUACAUGGCAAAGAAACAGGACAUGUGGUACGACCCACUAAGGAGUGAUCAGAGCUAGUCAUAACAGGACAUGAUGUACGACCCACUAAGGAGAGAUCAGAGCUAGUCAUAGAAGCACAUGAGGUACGACCCACUAAGGAGUGAUCAGAGCUAGUCCUAACAGGACAUGAGGUACGACCCACUAAGGAUCUCUUUGUUACUUGGGAUCUAGAACAAGCAUCUCUGUUUUGUCCGAGUUUAAAAGUAGAACAUUUGCAGCCAUCCACUUCCUUAUGGGGGCGGCAGGGUAGCCUAGUGGUUAGAGCAUUGGACUAGUAACCGGAAGGUUGCCAGUUCAAACCCCUGAGCUGACAUGGUACAAAUCUGUUGUUCUGCCCCUGAACAGGCAGUUAACCCACUGUUCCUAGGCCAUCAUUGAAAAUAAGAAUUUGUUCUUAAAUGACUUGCUUAGUUAUAUAAAGGUCAAAUAUGUCUGAAACACAGGCUUCUAGCGUGGGCAAUAUUGGGGCUUCAACAUGUUUCAUCGAAAUGUACAGCUGUGUGUCAUCUGCAUAGCAGUGAAAGUUAACAUUAUGUUUCCGAAUGACAUCACCAAGAGGUCAAAUAUAUAGUGAAAACAAUAUUCACAAUAUUAUUCCCAAUAUUAACAGUGUUUUCCUGUACAGACUUCUUGUACAGUGAUACCACUGAGGCUUCUGGGUUGCACUGGGUUGAGUAUACUCCUCUCUUGUGGGGAGUAUAUGACAACGCAAUAAGUAGGAUGAAAUUGCCAAUACACACUGACCUAAGACAAGUGUUGUUUGUCCCACAAAUAGCUGGGUUUAAUUUAAUUAGACAAAGAGCAUUCUUCCAAGGUUAACUUCACUUUAACCUGAGACAUUUCAAUGAAAUGAAACACAGGAGACUUGUUUGAUUCACAU